CCUUUGGGUGAUGAUGAAAUUAUCUCCUUUCUCCUCGCCAGUUUAGGAUCAGAUUAUGAUCCAUUAGUCAUAUUUGUGACAACUCGCAUUGACCCUAUGAGCGUUGAAGGACUCUAUAGUCAUAUGCUCACUCAUGAAA